GCCACCGCAAAGCCUCUAUCAGGCGGCACUUAGCCGAAGGAUAGAUUUGAGCACAACACACCCGCCGGCCGAUUCGUGGAACACCUCGCCGCUGUUGGCUGUUGAUGCCAUGGCGGCGCGGUCGCUGUGGCAGCUGGAGGACGCGAUCAUCGCGAGGCUCCGCACCUGCGCCACUUUCCGGGACCUCCUCCGAGCGCACGGCCUCGCCGUGCGGUUGUGCCUCUCGCAGAGCAGCUACGUUGCCACCCAGAUCGUGCACAUCUGCAACGCCCACGGCCGCGCCGCGCACGCCGCGCGGGUUUUCGCCCAGAUCCCCGCCCCGAACCUCCACCUCCACAACGCCAUGAUCAAGGCCUACGCGCAGAACCACCUCCACCGCGACGCGGUCGAGGUCUACGUCCGCAUGCUUAGGUGCCUCCCGCACCCUUCGACUGCUGGCUUCUCCGUCGGCGACCGGUUCACGUACCCGUUCCUCCUCAAGGCCUGCGGCGCCCUCGCUGCUUCUCGGCUCGGCAGGCAGGUGCACGCGCACGUGGCGAGGUCCGGGUGCGAGUCACACGCUGUCGUACAGAACUCCCUGAUCGAGAUGUACACGCGCUGCGGGGAUCUGUCGACCGCACGCAAGGCGUUCGAUGGAAUGCGGGAGAAGGACGUGGUCUCCUGGAACACGCUCAUCUCCGCGCACGCGAGAAUGGGGCAGAUGAGGAGGGCACGGGAGUUGUUCUAUUCGAUGCCCGACAAGACCGUGGUUUCCUGGACCGCCUUGGUGUCCGGAUACACCGCCGUUGGGGACUUCACAGGUGCAGUAGAGGUGUUCAGGCUGAUGCAAAUGGAAGGAUUCGAACCAGAUGACGUGAGCAUCGUCGCGGUGCUGCCGGCCUGUGCCCAGCUUGGCGCUCUGGAGCUUGGCCGGUGGAUAUAUGCUUACUGCAGCAAGCACGGCAUGCUGGGAAAGGUAUACAUUUGCAACGCGCUGAUGGAGAUGUACGCGAAGUGCGGGUGCAUCGAGGAAGCGCUGCAGCUGUUCCACGGCAUGUCCGAGAAGGACGUCAUCUCAUGGAGCACAGCGAUCGGCGGCCUCGCGGCACACGGGAGAGCACGCGAGGCUGUCAGGUUGUUUGAGGUGAUGGAUAGAGAAGGAAGGGUGAUGCCAAAUGGCAUCACAUUCGUGGGGCUCUUGUCGGCCUGCUCCCACGCGGGCCUCGUGGACGAAGGCCUGCGCUACUUGGAUCAAAUGAAGGAAGAUUAUGGUGUGGAACCCGGCGUCGAGCACUAUGGCUGCGUCGUCGACCUCCUCGGCCGGUCAGGGCGAAUCCAACGCGCGCUCGACACCAUACGAGGCAUGCCGGUCCCUCCAGAUGGCAAGAUAUGGGGGUCGCUGCUCAGCGCUUGCCGCAGCCAUGGCGACGUCGAAACAGCCGUGGUGGCGGCCGAGCGGCUCGUCGAGCUGGAGCCAGGGGACGUGGGCAAUCUCGUCAUGCUGGCCAACGUGUACGGCGCUGCAGGCCGAUGGGGCGAAGUGGCGAGUACGAGGAAGGAGAUACGGAGCCGGAGCACGAGGAAGACGCCCGGGUGCAGCAUGAUUGAGGUGGACAACGUGGUGCGCGAGUUCGUCGCCGGGCAGGACCUGGGGCCUGAGUUGGGAGGCAUUGCUACCGUACUGGAUAUCCUUGCCUCGAAGCUUGCCGACGAUGAAGAAUUAGUUGAUUCAGAUUGUGGGGAUGCCAUUGUGUUUGUUAGUGGGUAGUACUGAUACUAUAUUGGAAGAGGUGGUCCGAUGGUGGAAUGGGAGAGGAGAAUAACAUCAGGAGAGCUAGUAAAUGGCGAUAGCUUUCAGGUGUUGUUCUGGUCUUUGACCAAAGAUUCAUUUCCUGGAUAGCUUCCAUCAGUGUUGUGGAGUCGAUGGCUAUGGUCCCGUCUCAUUACUCAGCCUUCUACCUAUGCUCCAGUGGAGGGGCUUUACCUCUAUGGUGGACGGUGGUGUCGGUACAGGGAAGAUGAUGCUUAUCGAUCUGUCCUAUGAACAGCUGUAAGUCUCCGUCACACUACUUUGUGAUGGUGUUCCAAAGUUUUGGUCUAGUAAUAGAGCAACAGCUUAUCAGUUCGUCACACUGAUUGAUCACUGAUGUAUGGUUCUUGCUUUCUUUCAGUCUCUCACUUUAUUACGUUCAAGUUUGUCUCAGCCUCAAUAUGUGCAGACAACCAUUUGUUCUGUAUUUGAACUUUGUGCCAUCUAAAAAGUUCAACAUUCAGUGUGGUUGACUUAAGGAGGUUUUUAUCAUAGAAUAAAUCUGGUACCACCU